rnacentral:lncRNA from 1 species
GGGCUCUCAGGAGGCUGGAGAAACAGAGACAGCACCAGUGGGAAGCUCCGGUCCCCGUUACCGUCCCAGCUUCAGCCCCCAGUGCCUCCUGAGGGGCUUGUAAAGGAAGCCAGCUGUGGCAACAGCCUUUUAGAGAUGCUUCAGAGCUGGCUGAGAGCGUCUGAGGGGCCCCCAGACUGACAGGAACCUCUGUCUUUAAAACACUGCCUGGCAUCACCUCUGCAAUGACAUCCCCUCUCCUGCGCCCUGACCCUUAACGCCUAAAGUUUGGGAGAGGCUGAUAAAGCUUUUUCAGCAGUUCUGAUUCGGUUAGGAGACAGCAUGGCCCCUGGGGAUUGCUCCACCUCCAUCCAUCACUUCCCAUUUUCUACUGCAUCUCCAGGCCAUGGGAAGAGGGCUCUCCUGACUUCUGGCCACACUUGAGGAAGGUUCACCAUCAGGGAGAGCUGCCCAAGUGCACAGAGACAGUCCUACGCCCAGAACCAAAACAAGAAGCUGGCUUUCCCUGGGGGCAUUUGCUGCCAGACUCUCCAUGAUCGGAAACAUCCUCUGGGAAGACUUCAAGGGAGACUGCGUAAGUCUAAAGUGUCUCUUCAUUCCCCA